UCAGCACGGAUGAGCGCCAACGAGCAAAGUAAAGAACUGGCUUUACUCUCUACUCAUCUCGAAACAGAAGAGAAAGAGGGAUAGAGAAGGAAACUAGUGACAAAGAACGAAAAAGAGGGGCUAGCAAAUAGAAAAAGAGAAAAUCGAGGGGCCGUCAUAAUUCCUUGAAUUGAACGGCGGGUUAUUCUCCACCAAGGUUACACCGACGUAGAGGUUGAACGAAGCAAGCGGGCCAAGCAAGCAGGCUAGCAACCUAGCAGGCAGACUAGCAUGCAAGCAAGUAAGUAAACGAGCAAGGCAGUCAGGCAAGCCAGGCAAGCAGACAGGCAAGUUGGCUGGCAGUGAGACGCAGAGAGAAAAGCGAAAGAGGGGGCACAUGACGAGUAGGAUGAGAAGAGGUUGGGUAAGAGAGGAAGGAGGAAGGUAGGGAAUCGAUAGAACGACAAGGACGGUGCGCGAGUAUAUACCGCAGCACGGCAGCAUCAGGCGUCGUCGGCGGUAUAUGGAGUUGGAUCAGACGGGUGGAGAGAGAGGAGGGUAAAAACGUUUCGAGGCGUCCCUGUCUGGCGGCGCCACCGUUGCGUCGCUGUAGAAACGUGGUACCAAUGCUGCUGAUGGUAUAUGUGUGUGAGUUAGCGGUAACGAUGUAGAAUAAGGGAAUGUUAGUGGUAGUAGGAGUACGGUGGGGGAAACGUCAGGCUGGCAGGCUCGUGGGAGAGAGAAGUGAACGGCGGACAACGAGAGCUCAUGGGGCGACAAGGAAGGGGAUUGGUCGAAGCGUCGGUACGACUGGGGGGAGGAAGGAGGGCAACACGAUCAGGUCGGCAGGCGGGUGAGAGAAGGAAGAAUAGAGAGAGAAGGGGAGAGAGAGAGAGAUGGAGGAAGAAACGUUGAUGUCGAGCAGCGAGGUGAGCGAAACAGAAUGAGGAGGGGAGUGGACGGGCGGUUGGUCGACAGCAUGGGAGAGGGUCAGAGGGGUAAGGGGAGGUAGAGCCGACUUUAUGCAGCUGCGGGACGAUAACAACGAUGGGCUACAGGACCGCCGCUAUAGCUGGGGAAAUGCCAAAUGGGCUACAGGACUGUGCCGGCCUAGCUGUACGUUCGCUCGCUCGUAGUGGCAUGGCGGACGGGCGGUAGAGAGAAGCAGGCAGGAAAGGCGGGAAGGAGAAAGGGAUUUCAAGCGGUCGUCUCUUCUCGUCUGCCUCUGCGCUCUACCUACCUAUGUAUACCUACCUACCUACCCGGCCCGGGUGCUCUCUCCGGGUACUCUUCUCUCCACUGCCUGGAACGUACCGUCCUGGCCAUACCUAACCUCUACUGUUUUCUGCGGCUAGCGCCCUUGCUGAUGUUCCUCAACAUCGGAGCACGUAGCCGCUUACGCAGACUUCGAUGUCAUUCAUCUUGAGCGAGUUUUAUACCAGCCUGUCCAGAGUUCUAUCUGGGAAAUUUAGAUUUCGUUGGAAUUUCAAAAAACCAUCCGAAUCGAUAAUUCACUGUUAGAGACGAGAGACUAAUUUUUUCAAAUGAUCGUACUUAAUUCACUCAUCGUUGCCAAGCACAAGAAAAAGUGGAUAUAUAGAGGCGCGAGAACAGCAUGCUUUCGACAAUCGUCAACGAGAUACGUCGGUCCACGCAAUGACGUCAGAGGCUGGUCCAAUCCUGUCGAAUACGUCCGUGGCCCGAUCUCACCCUAUUGAGCGAGAGAGAAAGGAAGAUGCGGUGUAUAGGUACAUAAGGUAGGCUAGACAAAGAUGGAGUGGUAGUUAUAUAGAUAUCGACAGGGAGGAAAGAGACAGAGAAAGAGAGUCGCAGAGGGACGCAAGAGCCAGCAAAUAAGAGCACAGUCCAACAAAUAGAAGGAGAAGACAGUUCGAGUUCCGCUCUCCUGCUCUUACGAGACGUGCACGCUGAUUCAAGCCUUGCGAUAUUGUUGCCAGAAUUGUUCGUUAUAAUUUACAAUGUUCAGAAUAUUCCUGAUGUGAUCGUUGAGACAAAUCCUGAUUUUCUAUGACAUAUGACGCGUUCGAGCACAAAUACCUAUCAGUAUUUUUCAUGCAAAAGAACGAAAGAGGUUAUGCGACAACGAUUGAGAAAAGAAAGUAUUGAAACAUCUACAUAUUUUCUAUUCUAUUCAAAUACUUAAACUAGAAUUUCAUUAAAUGUUAUAGCUUUAACAGACACGAUCGAUAACGUAAAAUAAUUUUAACUGUAUUUUAUAUUUUUACCGUUCACAAAUUACGAAAGAGAUUCAAUGCUAGCUUGAUGUUAGAGUUAGAAUUUAAAAUUUCCAGUAAAAAUCCCGUCUUUCGAACUUCAUUGCAUAUUUAUCGACUAGCAGUAAUAAAUGGACUUACAAAUUAGUUCUCUCUACAAAAUUGUUUAUUGCCACUGCGAACUAAAACGGUCAAUUACUAAAAGACAGAUACGUGCAUACUCAAACAGAAAACGAUACAAGUGUUUCAUUUGAAAAUUAAACGUGUGAAGUUAUUAGCAAUAAAUUAUAAUAGUAAAGUAAAAUUAUUAAUGCGCACCUCAUGUACACAUGAUAUUUCCAAAAGUGUUGUAUUAUUAUUGAAAUUAUUGAACUUAAUUGACAAAAUUAAAAAUUUAGUAUCCGUUUUUUUGGUAUUAUAGU